rnacentral:rRNA from 1 species
AACGAACGCUGGCGGCAGGCUUAACACAUGCAAGUCGAGCGCCCCGCAAGGGGAGCGGCAGACGGGUGAGUAACGCGUGGGAAUCUACCCAUCUCUACGGAAUAACGCAUGGAAACGUGUGCUAAUACCGUAUACGUCCUUCGGGAGAAAGAUUUAUCGGAGAUGGAUGAGCCCGCGUUGGAUUAGCUAGUUGGUGGGGUAAAGGCCUACCAAGGCGACGAUCCAUAGCUGGUCUGAGAGGAUGAUCAGCCACACUGGGACUGAGACACGGCCCAGCCUCCUACGGGAGGCAGCAGUGGGGAAUAUUGGACAAUGGGCGCAAGCCUGAUCCAGCCAUGCCGCGUGAGUGAUGAAGGCCCUAGGGUUGUGAAGCUCUUUCACCGGUGAAGAUAAUGACGGUAACCGGAGAAGAAGCCCCGGCUAACUUCGUGCCAGCAGCCGCCGUAACAC